CCCAGCGGCAGUCAGCUGUGCAGGCCUGUCCCAUGCCUGAGCCAGUGUUACUCUGCUGGGAGAGGAAAGCGCUGUCACUAUGGCUGGGCUCUGGGAGACACUGUUUUAGUGGCUGCUGAUGCCAGGCUGUGGCAGCGCUGUGCCCCUCUGAGAGUGGACUGUACCCACACACUGGGGCAGCCCUAGUCUGGGGGCUAACAAU